GAUGAACGCUAGCGGCAGGCCUAACACAUGCAAGUCGAGGGGCAUCAUGGCGUAGCAAUACGCUGAUGGCGACCGGCGCACGGGUGCGUAACGCGUAUGGAACCUACCCACCGCAGGGGGAUAACCCGCCGAAAGGCGGACUAAUACCCCAUGGUUCCCCGACCCUGGCCUGGGGUUGGGGGUAAAGCCUACGGGCGGCGGUGGAUGGCCCUGCGUGCCAUUAGCUGGCUGGUGGGGUAACGGCCCACCAGGGCGACGAUGGCUAGGGGGUCUGAGAGGACGAUCCCCCACACUGGUACUGAGACACGGACCAGGCUCCUACGGGAGGCAGCAGUGAGGAAUAUUGGUCAAUGGGCGCAAGCCUGAACCAGCCAUCCCGCGUGCAGGAAGACGGCCCUAUGGGUUGUAAACUGCUUUUCCAGGGAGAGAAACUUACGCACGUGUUGCGUGACUGACGGUACCCUGGGAAUAAGCAUCGGCUAACUCCGUG
rnacentral:rRNA from 1 species